UCACAGACUUCACUCUCCGCAGAGAGUGGACCUCUCUAGGUUGCGGCACUGUUGCGAAGGCAUCAUAUUAUGAGUAACAGUUCUUCUGCUCCACGGACUUGGUUCAGAUCAGGAGCCAUUAGACCGGGAGAAGCAUUUGGUUACUUCAAUUUACAUGUUGGUCUUCGUACUGUUCGACCGUGAUUUCUUUGUAUAAACAAAUGAGUUAAUUGUUAUUGUCAUUUGAAUCAGGGUGGACUUGGGUUUCAUUCGAGUUUACAUCCUUGUUCAAAUUACAUAAAUGGAAGAUGGUCUACUAUAUGUGUUAGUUAGAAUAUCACCCUCUGAAGUGACACCGAAUUUUGAAUAUUAAAUUUGAAAGUUGAAGAUUUUGGUCAGAUCAUGAUACUCGGUUACCUUGCGAUACAAUAGAUUUGUGAUUGUAUAAUGUUUGUACCAAAUUGUAUUUAGAUGAAAUUUGUAAUUUACUUUUGACACCAAAAUAAUAAAAGGUUACCUUGUGUGUUGCUUUA